UUUCUUUUCUUUUAUUUCUUUUUCUUUUCUGUUUUAUUUAAUUUAGGGCACUUAAGUAUUUUAUAAAAUUGUGUCUUCUACACCAUAAUUACCUAUGCCAUAUUUGGCACUGUCCGAACAUUUUUGUUUCAACUUUUGAAAACUUUUGUUGUUUGACAUAUUUUGAAUUUGACUUUUGAACGGGUUUUGAACUAACGAGAGAUUAGCAACAGUAAUCAGAGAUGACAUGGCAUCAUUAGGAGAGUUUUACUGUAGCCUAAUUAUUCGGGCAUUACAAAUCUCCUCCACUACAAGAAAUCUCGUCCCGAGAUUUAAGAGGCGUAAGGGGGGGUAGGUUCUGGUUACGAAAUUCUAGCAAGUGUUGUCGGUCUUAGUUGAUCUUCUCGAAGAAUUUGAUCCCUUCCAUUGACGUUUGUAUUCCACUGCUCCAGGUCAUCAUGAUGAAGUCGUAAUCCUUCCUUCGGGAGUUCCAACGUACUUAUGAAAGGUAAAAAAGGGGGUAUUCCGGGAGAACGGACCUCGGCAAGGUUGACUAUCUGGUCGAUAACAUCGGGGAAGGUGGCAGAAAGUAACUCUCGAAUUGAAACUUAAGAAAAUAUCGAGAGCAAAGUAAGGAGGUAUCAUGGGAAGUUUCGAGCGGGCAGACAAUUGUUCAAUGCCUGAAACAGGGCGUGAAAAGGGGUUUAGAGCAACGAGAAUAGGUAUCGCGUCUGAUACCAGAAUAGAUCACUAGGAAGGUGGCUCGCGAAUUACCUACGAUACCAAGAGCAAGGGAUAACUUUGUCAACAAGGUGUAUAUGAGAGUCAGGUUUCGAUCAUGUGGAACUGUGGGUUAUGGGCCCACCAUGUGGGUUAAAAGUAGGAAGGGCGGUGACAUCUUGCACGAUCAUGUAAGCAAGGCAUGUCAGAGGAUAGUCUAUCAGUUAUGUCGGCAACAACAUUGGUACCAAAGGCGGGGGACGAAGAGAACCAUUUUCCUGCUCGUUGAAUGAUGCAGACCAAUAGGCAAAGUUCUCGUCCAUCGGUGGUUACCGGAAUGUCAUCAACAAAAGUAACAUGGUCUUACUGACAGAGUGGUACAACGAGGUGUUUACAUAAGCAGGGAAAUAUUACUGCUUAUAUAAUAUAGAUCACAAGAAGGUUUAAACAAACCAAUGGAAAGGAAAAGUAAUUAUCAGAUUUAAAAAGAACAAUGGAAAGGAAAAUGUGCAUACACACAUAUUUUGGGGGUAUAUCCUUCCCAAGGACAAGCGGAGCAUGAUAUCCAUGACAGGAUAGAAAGUAGGAAACCAUUUAGGUAAGGGGGGGAGGAAUCUCAUGAUAUUACCCAUACAACGGUGUUAGGAUAAAUGAUAAAGAAAAUUUAGCAUUGUGCUUCAAAUGCUCUUAUUGAAAAUCGGAUUACCACAGACAUGCUUCGAGAUAGCAUUGACAUGGUCUUGAAGCAAAGGUUGGACUUUGGAUACACGAAGGAUUCAUCAGAAACAACUUGUAGAAUAAGUCUUACGGUUUCCUCAUGGAAGAAUGGAUAACCUUGCUGAAAAGGAAACUAUAACAAUAGGGCCUCCUGCCAGGUGUGCUAGGCAUGACAUCACCUUACCGGGUCAUAUAAAGACCAAUGUUAUAACUCUUGGAAAUAUGUUCCAACCAUCAUAUCUGACUGAGACUCAGAUCCGAUUGGUGUCAGGAUAACUCAGACUAAGGAUGCCUGAGAAGAAAGGUGCAAUACAAAUUGUCGAGAUGACAUUGUAAGAUUCUCGGGAAUUGAACUAUGGAAGCAAGUUCCGAAACAAGAGUUCAUCAUCAAAUCAAGGAGAGGAUGAGGAGGUGGCUAAUGGACUCAGCGACAACUCAUUGAGAUUUCCAAAAGAUGGUUUUCCACAAUUAUGUGAACAAGGAGAUAACAUUUGUCAGAGCAAAUGAUAUAAUGAUGUAUGCUCAAGAAAACCAUACACCAUUAAACAUUGGUUGAAAGGUGCACCCAGGAUAUGGGCUUAGGUAGUAUAAUCAAUGUUAGAAUGGUGAUUCAAUAACCAUUAGCCAAAGAAUGAACUAUCGACCAUUAACUUCAAAGCAAUAGGGUAGCUAGAAGUUUUGAAUUCAUCCAUCCUUGUUCAGUGGUCGGUAAUCCGGUUAGAAACAACACGGGGACUAGGAUAUUAACGGAGAUGGCGAGAAGUAUUUCCAUAUCAAGAAUUCUUAAGAGGUGGUGAAAUUCUCACCACAUCCCUGACAUAAAAGAUGGUAAUACUCCAAGGUACAGAAGAACAAAUGCUGGAUAGCAAGGAUCUCAAGGUACAACACAAACAUGAACAAGUUUGUGUUGAAGGGAAAGCAAUAAUGUUGUCGAUGAUAACACAAAUCAUCGAGGGGAAAGGAUGGUAAUUGUCAUCAUGAAUUUGGUUGAUAUUCUUGGAAGGAGUCAAAAUGUUGAUGAUGAUCACAACAAAUUUUGUCGAGAGGCUCAACGACGAAGCAAUCGAACAACGACUGCAUCAAACAAAAGGACUGCUGCAACGAAAGAUUAUUGGAUCCACGGAUACGACACCAACUCGGAAUCAAGCUUGAUGUUUGAGGUGAACGAUAAGAUGAGGAAGAUUGACGUAAGCUUAGCUCAGCGUCGAAAGUUGUGCUCCGGGAAUAAGGACCAGGUAGCACAAUUAUAAUCAUUACGAUAAUGAUAUAGUCAAAUAGGCUAGGAAUGAUGUGAUCGAGUAUUAAAUUUGUAAGCAAUGAAGAGUUCUAAUACUUGUUGAAUCGCAAUGCAAACUCGAUUCAGUUAUCGGUGUCUUUGAGUGUUUAAUAACUUAGAGCCCGUGAAAAUUUUGAAUCAGUGAGAAUGUAGUACUUAAUAAGUUAUGCAGUUCCGUGAUAAUCUCGAGAUACCAGGGGGUAAUACUUGGCGACAGACCAAACUAGAGGUUGGACAAGCGUACUGAUCUGCAGAAGGCAAGUACUCUAACUUGUCCGAGAAAUGGAAUCAAGAAGAAAAUAUGGUCGGAACCACGGUCGCAAAAGACCAAUUCACAGAUACCAGAUGAUAGUUAUCAAGGAAAUAGUUAUUAUUACAAGAAGCUUCCAUGAUAGGAUCUACAUCGUGUCCAUGGGCAUGAACACAAACUUCAAGGUCAACACCCACUUCUUUAAUGCAUAACCUUUCAUUCACUUCUCACCUUCAACGAAGCUGUGGUGUUGAAAUUUUAUAUGACAUAACACCACUAGAGUAUGACCCGUAGUAGUUUCCGGGUUCACACAUAUUAGAAAAAGGCAUAUGUCCAACCCAUCGGGGCCUCUUAGGAACAUAUACCACAAACUUUAGGGGUAAAUAACUCAAGCUCGGAAGCAGAGCAUGUUUGGCCAAAGGAGAGGAUACAAAUUGCCAAAGGCAUUAUGUAUCAGGGAGGAUUCACAAGGCAGUAAAAUAUGGACACUGUCGAAUAAUAAUCCAACAAAGGAUCUGACGGUCCAUAGCAGAGCUGAUGUGAGCAUCGGCACACAAUCAGAUAAAGAAACAAUGCAAAUGCAUCUGAUUAUAGAACACCUGAAUAAUUCGAUGCUUAAAUAACAAAGGAAUUAUGAUUUCCAAAAUGAAGGAUCAGAAGCAGACGCUCUGAUUAACAAUGGAUAAGUUGAACAGACUUAGGGGUACAAUCGACGACAAUUUGAUUGGUCGAGAACCAGCUCAUGUUUAAAAUGAUAUCUGAGCCGGAAGGAUGAAUUCUAUGAUCUGAUUGAGGAUUGCAAGCAUUCGCAAAAUAAUGAAUCAAGGGGAUCGAAAUGAUAGUGACAAAGGAUGUCAAUGAACACUGCUAGAAAUAUGGAAUUGACCAUAGUACCGGAAGGCAAGGAAUUCAGGAGCAAUAGGCUCCUAAGGAUUUUUAGAAAACCAAAUAGUAUCCUGAAGAAUUUUGUGAAACACAAAAACAACUAGGAAUGAAGAAAUCCUCGAUACGUGUGAGAAUUUACCGUCGGUGUAAUCGUGAGGAAAAGGAGCUGCAAGGCAGCAGACACAAAGGACCAUCAGAAUAUCCGAAGUAUUUCAGGGUAUCUUAUAAUAACAAGAUCAAAUUGGAAAUGAAGUUAUGGACGACAAGUGUAUGUAACUUUCCAUAAUGAUUUAUCGGUGGUAUGGAAUUGCAACGGCGAAGGGCACAAGGGUCUCGAGGAAACAUCGGGGAGUAUCUUUAAAAUUUUCUGGUGCAUCAGGCGAUCAUCUGGACUGAAGGGGCUCUCCGGGAGAAGUAUUUUCGAGAACCUAAAGUUAGUUUUUUUCAAAAUCAUUUAACCCGAAUAGAACAGAGAUUAGAGUCCCAGAGUAAAGAUCAAGGAGUAAAAGAUCCUAAUACCACCCAAUGGCGACGUGGGCCCAUGGGCCGCAGAGCCAUGUUAGUAAAACAGUUUUCAUCGACUAGACUCGACUUCGGCCAAGGAGUGUGGAACGGGGAUUCCAACAGGCAGUCGGCUCUGAUACCAACUUGUGACGCCCCCGAUUCAAUCGUACACUAAUCAUACACGCAAACGUGUACGAUCAAGAUCAGGGACUCACGGGAAGAUAUCACAACACAACUCUAAAAAUAAAAUAAGUCAUACAAGCAUCAUAAUACAAGCCAGGGGCCUCGAGGGCUCGAAUACAAGUGCUCGAUCAUAGAUGCGUCAGCGGGAGCAACAAUAUCUGAGUACAGACAUAAGUUAAACAAGUUGCCAUAAGAUGGCUAGCACAAACUGGGAUACAGAUCGAAAGAGGCGCAGGCCUCCUGCCUGGGAUCCUCCUAAACUACUCCUGGUCGUCGUCAGCGGCCUGCACGUAGUACUAGGCGCCUCCGGUGUAGUAGGAGUCGUCGUCAACGGUGGCGUCUGGCUCCUGGGCUCCAGCAUCUGGUUGCGACAACCAGGAAGAAAGGAAAGGGGGAAAAGGGGGGAGAAAAGCAACCGUGAGUACUCAUCGAAAGUACUCGCAAGCAAGGAUCUACACUACAUAUGCAUGGGUAUCUGUGUAAAGGGGCUAUAUCAGUGGACUGAGCUGCAGAAUGCCAGAAUAAGAUGGGGAUAGCUAAUCCUAUCGAAGACUACGCUUCUGGCAGCCUCCAUCUUGCAGCAUGUAGAAGAGAGUAGAUGGUAAGUUCACCAAGUAGCAUCGUAUAGCAUACUCCUACCCGGCGAUCCUCUCCUCGUCGCCCUGUUAGAGAGUGACCACCGGGUUGUAUCUGGCACUUGAAAUGGUGUGCUUUAUUAAGUAUCUAGUUCUAGUUGUCAUAAGGUCAAGGUACAACUCCGGGUCGUCCUUUUACCGAGGGACACGGCUAUUCGAAUAGAUAAACUUCCCUGCAGGGGUGCGCCACAUAACCCAACACGCUCGAUCCCAUUUGGCCGGACACACUUUCCUGGGUCAUGCCCGGCCUCGGAAGAUCAACACGUCGCAGCCCCACCUAGGCACAACAGAGAGGUCAGCACGCCGGUGUAAAUCCUAUGGCGCAGGGGUCUAGGCCCAUCGCCCAUUGCACACCUGCACGUUGCGUACGUGGCCGGAAGCAGACCUAGCCUCCCUUAUACAAGAGUAGGCGUUCCAGUCCAAUCCGACGCGCGCCGCUCAGUCGCUGAUGUCACGAAGGCUUCGGCUGAUACCACGACGCCGAGUGCCCAUAACUGUUCCCGGGUAGUUGGUUAGUGCGUAUAGGCCAGUGGCCAGACUUAGAUCAAGUACCAAGAUCUCGUUAAGCGUGUUAUUUUGAAGUAACCGCGGACGCCGACCAGGGCCAGGCCCACCUCUCUCCUAGGUAGUCUCAACCUGCACUGUCGCUCCGCCACAAAGAUCCACUCGCAGGUACUCCACGAGCCGACCCGACUUUAGUUACCACAGGUAUCAUGUAAAGUAUAUAAUUAUAUACCCGUGAUCACCUCCCGAGUGAUCACGGCCCAAUAGUAUAGCAAGGCAGAUGGACAAGAAUGUAGGGCCACAGAUGGAAUACUAGCAUCCUAUACUAAGCAGGUAGGAUUGCAGGUAAUGGUAACAAUAGUAGUAGCAAGGACAUGCUAUGCAUCGGGAUAGGAUUAACGGAAAACAGUAACAUGCUACACUACUCGAAUGCAAGCAGUAGAGAGUAGAAUAGGCGAUAUCUGGUGAUCAAGGGGGGGCUUGCCUGGAAGCUCAGCCGAGAAGGAGGGGUCGUCAACACCGUAGUCAUACUAGGUAGCAGCGGCGUCGGUCUCGGUGUCUAGCGAGAGAAGAGGGGGAAGAAACAAUAAAUACAAUGCAAACAAAUGCAUGACGAUGCAUGACAUGACAAAGCGUGAUGCUAGGUGUGCCAAAGCGGUAGUAGGUGAUACCGGCGAAGGGGAGAAACAUCCGGGAAAGUAUUCCCGGUGUUUCGCGUUUCCGCACAGAUGAACCGGAGGGGGAAAGUUGCGAGUUCGAUAGGUUAGGGAUGUGUGGUGGACGAACGGGCUGCGUAUCCGGAUUCGUCUCGUCAUUCUGAGCAACUUUCAUGUAGAAAGUAUUUGCAUCCGAGUUACGUAUUAUUUUAUAUGAUUUUCUAAAGAUUUAAUCAUUUUCUAAUUUUAAUUAUUUAUUUAAAUCCGACAUUAUCCAGAACAGUGAACGAUGACACAAGCAUGACAAUAGAGUGAUGUCAGCGGGUCAACUGGUCGGUUGACUAGUCAAACCAGACAGGUGGGUCCAUUGGGACCCACAUGUCAGUGACAGUGCUAACUAACAGAGUUAUUUUAAACUAACUAACCUAAUUAGCGAGUUGGGCCCAGUAGUCAGUGAGAGAUUAAGGUCUUUAUUAAUUAAUUUAAUUAAUUAGCAAUUUAUCUAUUUAUUUUUGUUUGUUUAUGGCGUGGGGCCCGCAUGUCAUAGACACAGGGGGCGGCCACGUCAGCGUUGACCCAAGUCAACUGGUCAAAGGCGGGCCCUGAGCCCACCAGUCAGUGGCACGAGGCGGUGCCACGUGGGUGCCAGCUCGGCACCCGUCGGAGACGCGUCCGAGCUAACUCCGGCGACCAUUCCAACGGCGGAGCGAUCGGGAGAGCUAUGGGAUUCGUCCACACCGAACCAUUUAGGGCGCGGCCGGGCUCGUUCGAACGGCAAGACGACGGCGGAGCGAUCUGUGAUGGUGGCGGAGGCUGCGGUGGCCGGAGCUGGGCGCAUCGAGCUCAUCAGCGGCGAGGUUCUCCGGGCGAGGUACGGGGACGGUGCUACGGGGCGCAAAGCGAGCUGCGCGAGGUUCCUACGGUGCCUACUCGACGCGAGAAGCGGAACGGUGGCACGCAUGGGACCAAAUGGUCACCGUGGCCACGCCGGCGAUGAGGCCAGGUGGCGGCGUGUUUGGGUGAGCGUGGAACGGGCGCUACCGGUGAUCAGAGGAGGCAGGGGAGGGCGCAUCCGGCGCAGAGGCUCACCAGGGGAGCGUGGGGUCUGGGCAGAGGGCUCGGGGAGGACCGGCGGCGUAGAUUGAAGGCGAGGACGACGCAUUGGCCGAGCCGGAGAAGAAGACGAAUGCGGUGAUGCGAGGGGGUCCGGGGCUCGAUCCAGCGGCGUAGUGGAAGCAGAGGACCACGGCGGAGCGAUAGGACUUGCAGGGCCGACGAACGGACGACGGUGGUCGCGUCUACUGCGAGCGGCGGCGAGGAAGGCGCUCGGCCAUGGCGGAGAGUGAGGAGCGGCGAGGUGGAUCUGAUGGAAGAGGGAGACGCAGGGACCGAGGGGGAGAGCGGGGGCGAGUGGGAAUGGGAUCGAGGAGGCGAGGGCGUGGCGGCCUUAUCUCCUCCCGGCGUCGGUGCCGGCGAGGCGGCCGGGCGGGGAUGCGCCCCUGUUCCGACCCUGGUCGGAGGAACAGGGAAGGGGAGAGAGAGACCGGGGGAACGGGCUGGGUCGGCCGGAUGGGCCAGGUGGGCCGGCCUGGCUAUGAGCUGGGCCGUCUGGUCCAGUGGGGGUCCUUUUCUCUUUUUUCUUUUUUCUUUUUUCUUCUGCUUAUUUUCUUUUCUUUUAUUUCUUUUCCUUUUUUGUUUUAUCUAAUUUAGGGAACUUAAGUAUUUUAUAAAAUUGUGUCUUCUACACCAUAAUUACCUAUGCCAUAUUUGGCACUGUCCGAACAUUUUUGUUUCAACUUUUGAAAACUUUUGUUGUUUGACAUAUUUUGAAUUUGACUUUUGAACGGGUUUUGAAGUAACGAGAGAUUAGCAACAGUAAUCAGAGAUGACAUUUCAUCAUUAGGAGAUUUUUAUUGUAGCCUAAUUAUCUGGGCAUUACACUGGCACUGGGCUCUGGGUUAAUAGGUUAGUCCCAAAAAUGAUAUAAAAGUUCAUAGUAAAGCCCAUUAAACAUCC
rnacentral:lncRNA from 1 species